CACAUUGAAUGCCACCAAAAAUUUCGGAAAGCUGUGGGCUUACGAGCUUUCGGUUUUAAAGGAACUAAUUGCACUACUCAAGCCUUUCAAACAGGCUACAGACGACUUCCAGGCCGAUUUUGAAUCCAUCGGGAAUGUCAUUCCAGUAUUUCUUGGAUUAAAAACAGCCCUACAACUUACCGUCAAAGACAGGUAUGGUGUUGAUAGUCCUAAUCCAGCUAGCAACUUAUCAAAAACCAUAAGACAUUUGAAGAAUAUCGCCGCUGCGCUUGAAAAAUCAUUGGUGUCCCGAUUUUCAUACGUAUUGUAUGAUUCUAACUACGUUUUAGGAGCAGUUCUCGACCCGAGAUUCAAAAAGGGAUGAAUGAAACGUUCAGGGUACACAGAGAUAGACAUUAUUGCAGCAGUAAAACAGCAAAUAUCGCAGCGCUAUCGUAACUAUCGUGAAUGUAGUCACCUAAUUACCGACCAAAAUUCUGCCGACGAAGAAAUUACCGGAGCGCCAGAAACUGAAUCUGAUGAUCCAAGACGUGCUCAAGGCUCACGAAAAAGAAAAAAAACAGUGAGUCCCUGCUUUACUCCUCUGUCCUGGAAGAGCCACGUUCCCAGUCCGUUGGCCUUGAAAAAAUCCUCGAUGAGUUUGAAACAUAUAUAAAUGAACCCAACGUUCCAUUGGAGCAACCCACGAAACCUCUAGAUCCUGAAAGCAAAAUGGAGAAAACCAAACCCUCACAAUUCUGGAAAGCAAACAGUCACCGCUUUCCAUUUCCCUCAAUUGUUGCGAGGGAUUCACUUGCUGUUCCUGCAUCUUCAGGGUCGAUCGAGCGUUCGUAUAGCACUGGCACAGAUACACUAUGUGCCAAACGAAACAGAACAAAACCAGAUCUGUUUUCUAACCUCAUGUUUAUCAAGUGCAAUGCGAAAGUGAACGCUGGUACCAAUUAAACUAUAAUAAACUUUUGUUAAUUGGUUUAUUAUAUUAUAUGAUAUAAAAUUUCAUUUUCUCGUUUCAUUUCUAUUUGAUCACUAUGCUCAGCCUCGCUGAAGAAGCAGUCAAACAAUUCAA